rnacentral:tRNA from 1 species
UCCCUGAUAGCUCAGUUGGUAAAGGAUCUGCCUGCAAUGCUGGAGACCCAGGUUUGAUUCCUGGGUCGGGAA